rfam:Triticum urartu cultivar G1812 contig138071, whole genome shotgun sequence.
GGAGAGAUGGCUGAGUGGACUAAAGCGGCGGAUUACUAAUCCGUUGUACAAUUGUUUUGUACCAAGGAUUCCAAUCCCUCUCUUUCUG